CAGCCGCCGCGGUAAUACAGAGGGUGCGAGCGUUAAUCGGAUUUACUGGGCGUAAAGCGUGCGUAGGCGGCUUCUUAAGUCGGAUGUGAAAUCCCUGAGCUUAACCUAGGAAUUGCAUUCGAUACUGGGAAGCUAGAGUAUGGGAGAGGAUGGUAGAAUUCCAGGUGUAGCGGUGAAAUGCGUAGAGAUCUGGAGGAAUACCGAUGGCGAAGGCAGCCAUCUGGCCUAAUACUGACGCUGAGGUACGAAAGCAUGGGGAGCAAACAGGAUUAGAUACCCCUGUAGUCCCUGUCUCUUAUAC
rnacentral:rRNA from 1 species